GGGUAAACAGUCUAUUUACUUUAACCAAGCAGUCUGUUCAUUAAUCCUCUAUGACUGAAUCCCCAUAGUAUACAAUUUAUUUCUCCAUGGGCAACAAGACAUGCCAGCAACUGCACGGCUACUUCUCCAUUUAGCCAGGUCUUGCUCGGUCACACAGGCUGGAGUGCAGUGGCACAAUCUCGGCUCAUUGCCACCUCUGUCUCCCAGGCUCAAGCAAUCCUCCCAGCUCAGCCUCCUGAGUAGCUGGGACUACAGAUGCAUGCCACCGUGCCCGGCUAAUUUUUGGACAGAGAAUAAAGGGUCCCUGUAUUCAUGCCUUCCUGGAAAUCUCAGUGCAAGGCCCUAUCAGGAGGUUUCCUGGAGCAGCUAAGGGAACAGCUAGACCACCCAGGAAGAAAUGACAGAAGCCUACCUGACUUCCAAUCUGCUUGCUUCAUGGUGUAAUGGGGGCCUAGACAGAAGCACCCCAAGGACACUUACAACAACUGUUCUGCCAGCUCUAGUCCAUUGGAGAAGAUGUGCCAACAUACCUUCUCACCAUCCCUAGAGCCCAACCUUGCUAUGGAAAGGUCAAACCCUUACCAUUGGCCCUGCCAAGGAUCCCCAGACAGAGAAGCACAAUGGAGGCCAUAAAUUAUGGCUUCUUAUCAUGGCCUCCACAUAACUUAAACUCUGGAUGGUGAAUGAAAUCUGGGGCCAAGUCUUAAAGGGUCAGGGUAGCCAAUGAGCAUAACUCAAUAUUUGUGUUUCUAAGAGAAAACCACAGAACCUCCAUAUCCAUGGCAAACUGGCCAGCCACAGGCUGGAUCCAGUGUGCAGUAGUGUUUUGUGUACACCAUUCACUAUUUGUCUACUUGGGUUAAAAAUGUUUUAUAUUAGUUAGCAAUGUUUAAACAUUGGGAGAAUUAAAGGGAAAUGAAAACGUACUUCCCACAAAUACUUGCACAUAAAUAUUCACAGCAGCAUUGUUUAUAAUUGCCCAAAACUAGAAACAACCCAAAUAUCCAUCAACUGAUGAAUGAUAAACAAGUUGUGGUAUAUUCAUCCAAUAAAACAAUAUUCAGCAAUAAAAAUAAACAAAUCAGGCACUUAAUAUAAUUGAAUAUCAAGGUCAUUAUGUUGAGUGAAAGAGGCCAGAAAAUAAAAGUAUACACUAUUUGAUUCCAUUUAUAUAAUAUUCUAGAAAAUGAAAACCAGUCUAUACUUACAGAAAACAAGGUGGUAGCUUACAGAGAUGGGGUAGAGGGAGGGAGAGAUGACAGAGAGGCAUAAAAAAACUUUCCGGACAAUGAAAAUGUUCUGUAUUUUAAUUGUGGUGAUGGUUUCAUGGAUGUACAAGUUCAUCAAAUCUCAUCAAGUUAAAUAUAUGCAUUUAUUUUAUAUUAAGUGUACCUCAAUAAAGCAGAAAAAUUUAAAAUUGGU
ensembl:lncRNA novel transcript